rnacentral:rRNA from 1 species
GCGCAGAUAUCAGGAGGAACACCGAUGGCGAAGGCAGGUCUCUGGGCUGUAACUGACGCUGAGGAGCGAAAGCAUGGGGAGCGAACAGGAUUAGAUACCCUGGUAGUCCAUGCCGUAAACGUUGGGCACUAGGUGUGGGGACCAUUCCACGGUUUCCGCGCCGCAGCUAACGCAUUAAGUGCCCCGCCUGGGGAGUACGGCCGCAAGGCUAAAACUCAAAGGAAUUGACGGGGGCCCGCACAAGCGGCGGAGCAUGCGGAUUAAUUCGAUGCAACGCGAAGAACCUUACCAAGGCUUGACAUGUUCUCGAUCGCCGUAGAGAUACGGUUUCCCCUUUGGGGCGGGUUCACAGGUGGUGCAUGGUUGUCGUCAGCUCGUGUCGUGAGAUGUUGGGUUAAGUCCCGCAACGAGCGCAACCCUCGUUCCAUGUUGCCAGCACGUAGUGGUGGGGACUCAUGGGAGACUGCCGGGGUCAACUCGGAGGAAGGUGAGGACGACGUCAAAUCAUCAUGCCCCUUAUGUCUUGGGCUUCACGCAUGCUACAAUGGCCGGUACAAUGGGUUGCGAUACUGUGAGGUGGAGCUAAUCCCAAAAAGCCGGUCUCAGUUCGGAUUGGGGUCUGCAACUCGACCCCAUGAAGUCGGAGUCGCUAGUAAUCGCAGAUCAGCAACGCUGCGGUGAAUACGUUCCCGGGCCUUGUACACACCGCCCGUCAAGUCACGAAAGUUGGUAACACCCGAAGCCGGUGGCCUAAC